rnacentral:rRNA from 1 species
CACGUAGGGGACGAGCGUUGUCCGGAUUCAUUGGGCGUAAAGCGCGCGUAGGCGGCUCGGAAAGUCGGUCGUGAAAUGCCGGGGCUCAACCCCGGGACUGCGUCCGAUACUCUCGAGCUGGAGGCAGGUAGGGGAGAUCGGAAUUCCUGGUGUAGCGGUGAAAUGCGCAGAUAUCAGGAAGAACACCCGUGGCGAAGGCGGCUCUCUGGGACGGUACUGACGCUGAGACGCGAAAGCGUGGGGAGCGAACAAG